CGAAUCCUCCGUGGGCCAGGGGAAGAGGACAAUUUUGUGGUCAUUUUCUCCUGCUGUCUUCAAGCGGAUUCUGGAGAGAGACUUCGGGUCCCCAGCACUCUCCGUUGUGCUUCGUGUUUGGAAAGGCUGAUUGAAUUGUAGCUCCGGGGA